UGCGGAAUUUUAGAUAAUGGAGGGAACUCUGAUCUAGCGACGCCGCGUGCAGGAAGAAGGUCUUCGGAUUGUAAACUGCUGUGAUAAGGGAAAAAUGCCAUGUAGAGUGGAAAGCUACAUGGAGGGAUGGUACCUUACUAGAAAGCCCCGGCUAACUACGUGCCAGCAGCCGCGGUAAUACGUAGGGGGCGAGCGUUACCCGGAAUCACUGGGCGUAAAGGGAGCGUAGGUGGCCUAACAUGUCAACUGUGAAAACCCGGAGCUCAACUCCGGACUUGCAGUUGAAACUGGUAGGCUUGAGGACGGUAGAGGAAGACGGAACUGCCAGUGUAGGGGUAAAAUCCUUAGAUAUUGGCAGGAACGCCGGUGACGAAGGUGGUUUUCUGGGCCGGUUCUGACACUGAUGCUCGAAAGCCAGGGGAGCGAACGG
rnacentral:rRNA from 1 species